rnacentral:lncRNA from 10 species
CUGGAAUAUGCCCUUCAAGGGGGCAGGGACCACGGAAGGCUUGGAAAGAGGAAAGCAGACACAGAACAUGCAGCAGCAGGAGGCCCAGAUUGGUCUCUGCAGAUGGAAUGUGGAACCCUGUCCUGGCUGCUGACGGACUCACUGACUUGCACAGGACUCAAUGCAUCAGGUCUCCUUCAUCAUCCCAACUCACUUGGGAGCUACUCUUGGUCAUCUUUUGACAGCCGUGUGACUCCCCCAGGUCAGCUGCAUCCUUCCCUCUUCCAAAUCCCUGUGGUGCACAUCAUGCAGAGACUUCUAAAGAACUCACCAUUGGGCUUUGGAGUGUGGUGACUAAGAUGAUGUUUCAGACUGGAAGACGCCCAUCCUACUGAGGGAAUGACAAAGGCAGAGCAAGGACAUUUGAAAACGUGUGCUUCGAACUGUGAGAACACAAAAUGCCCUAGCUUCCACGAGUCCAGAGCCCUUGGAUCUCCCUAAAGAUGCCACAUCGGGCUUCUUGCACCAUUUCAUCAUUGUCAUGUGUGGGCCGUCUAUUCCAUGAACUACUGGACGAAAUUCACCCAUGAUAUUUCAAGUAGGUUCUUUUCUAUUUUCCCUAAGUGUCAGCUGUUCUGAGACAUAAAGGGACAGAGUACAAAAGAGAGAAAUUUUAAAGCUGGGUGUCCGGGGGAGACAUCACAUGUCGGCAGGUUCCGUGUUGCCCCUUGAGCCAUAAAAUCAGCAAGUUUUUAUUAGUGAUUUUCCAAAGGGGAGGGAGUGUACGAAUAGGAUGUGG